UGUAUCCUACGGGGGGCAGCAGUGAGGAAUAUUGGUCAAUGGUCGGGAGACUGAACCAGCCAAGCCGCGUGAGGGAGGAAGGUACAGAGUAUCGUAAACCCCUUUUGUCAGGGAACAAAGACUGGGACGCGUCCCCGGAUGAGUGUACCUGAAGAAAAAGCAUCGGCUAACUCCGUGCCAGCAGCCGCGGUAAUACGGAGGAUGCGAGCGUUAUCCGGAUUUAUUGGGUUUAAAGGGUGCGCAGGCGGUCUGUUAAGUCAGCGGUCAAAGCCCGGGGCUCAACCCCGGCCCGCCGUUGAAACUGG
rnacentral:rRNA from 1 species